ensembl:lncRNA
UCCAGAUUGCACAACGCUUUCUUUCCACUCUCCUUAUGUUUCAGGUCUUGGAUCUGUUUGUGGGCUCCUGCACACUGAUAUCCAUCUCACCCGCUUCUAAGUGUCCGUCACAGCCGGCGUGGAAACCUGGAGGUUCCCUCCAGAUUUCACAAUGCUUUCUUUCCACUCUCCUUGUGUUUCAGGUCUUGGACCUCUUUGUGGGCUCCUGCACACUGAUAUCCAUCUCACCCGCUUCUAAGUGUCCGUCACAGCCGGCGUGGAAACCUGGAGGUUCCCUCCAGAUUUCACAACGCUUUCUUUCCACUCUCCUUGUGUUUCAGGUCUUGGAUCUGUUUGUGGGCUCCUGCACACUUAUAUCCAUCUCACCCACUUGUAAGUAUCCAUCACAGCCGGCGUGGAAACCUGGAGGUUCCCUCCAGGUUUUGGAUCUGUUUGUGGGCUCCUGCACACUGAUAUCCAUCUCACCCGCUUGUGAGUAUCCAUCACAGCCGGCGUGGAAACCUGGAGGUUCCCUCCAGAUUGCACAACGCUUUCUUUUCAAUCUCCUUAUGUUUCAAGUCUUGGACCUGUUCCUGGGCUCCUGCACUCUGAUAUCCAUCUCACCCGCUUCUAAGUGUCCGUCACAGCCGGCGUGGAAACCUGGAGGUUCCCUCCAGAUUGCACAACGCUUUCUUUCCACUCUCCUUGUGUUUCAGGUCUUGGAUCUGUUUGUGGGCUCCUGCACACUGAUAUCCAUCUCACCUGCUUCUAAGUGUCCGUC